AAAUUGAAGAGUUUGAUCAUGGCUCAGAUUGAACGCUGGCGGCAGGCCUAACACAUGCAAGUCGAACGGUAACAGGAAGCAGCUUGCUGCUUCGCUGACGAGUGGCGGACGGGUGAGUAAUGUCUGGGAAACUGCCUGAUGGAGGGGAUAACUACUGGAAACGGUGGCUAAUACCGCAUAACGUCGCAAGACCAAAGAGGGGGACCUUCGGGCCUCUUGCCAUCAGAUGUGCCCAGAUGGGAUUAGCUUGUUGGUGAGGUAACGGCUCACCAAGGCGACGAUCCCUAGCUGGUCUGAGAGGAUGACCAGCCACACUGGAACUGAGACACGGUCCAGACUCCUACGGGAGGCAGCAGUGGGGAAUAUUGCACAAUGGGCGCAAGCCUGAUGCAGCCAUGCCGCGUGUAUGAAGAAGGCCUUCGGGUUGUAAAGUACUUUCAGCGGGGAGGAAGGUGUUGUGGUUAAUAACCGCAGCAAUUGACGUUACCCGCAGAAGAAGCACCGGCUAACUCCGUGCCAGCAGCCGCGGUAAUACGGAGGGUGCAAGCGUUAAUCGGAAUUACUGGGCGUAAAGCGCACGCAGGCGGUCUGUCAAGUCGGAUGUGAAAUCCCCGGGCUCAACCUGGGAACUGCAUUCGAAACUGGCAGGCUUGAGUCUUGUAGAGGGGGGUAGAAUUCCAGGUGUAGCGGUGAAAUGCGUAGAGAUCUGGAGGAAUACCGGUGGCGAAGGCGGCCCCCUGGACAAAGACUGACGCUCAGGUGCGAAAGCGUGGGGAGCAAACAGGAUUAGAUACCCUGGUAGUCCACGCCGUAAACGAUGUCUACUUGGAGGUUGUGCCCUUGAGGCGUGGCUUCCGGAGCUAACGCGUUAAGUAGACCGCCUGGGGAGUACGGCCGCAAGGUUAAAACUCAAAUGAAUUGACGGGGGCCCGCACAAGCGGUGGAGCAUGUGGUUUAAUUCGAUGCAACGCGAAGAACCUUACCUGGUCUUGACAUCCACAGAACUUUCCAGAGAUGGAUUGGUGCCUUCGGGAACUGUGAGACAGGUGCUGCAUGGCUGUCGUCAGCUCGUGUUGUGAAAUGUUGGGUUAAGUCCCGCAACGAGCGCAACCCUUAUCCUUUGUUGCCAGCGAUUAGGUCGGGAACUCAAAGGAGACUGCCAGUGAUAAACUGGAGGAAGGUGGGGAUGACGUCAAGUCAUCAUGGCCCUUACGACCAGGGCUACACACGUGCUACAAUGGCGCAUACAAAGAGAAGCGACCUCGCGAGAGCAAGCGGACCUCAUAAAGUGCGUCGUAGUCCGGAUUGGAGUCUGCAACUCGACUCCAUGAAGUCGGAAUCGCUAGUAAUCGUGGAUCAGAAUGCCACGGUGAAUACGUUCCCGGGCCUUGUACACACCGCCCGUCACACCAUGGGAGUGGGUUGCAAAAGAAGUAGGUAGCUUAACCUUCGGGAGGGCGCUUACCACUUUGUGAUUCAUGACUGGGGUGAAGUCGUAACAAGGUAACCGUAGGGGAACCUGCGGUUGGAUCACCUCCUUACCUUAAAGAA
rnacentral:rRNA from 1 species